UGGGGAAUCUUGGACAAUGGGCGCAAGCCUGAUCCAGCCAUGCCGCGUGAGUGAAGAAGGCCUUCGGGUUGUAAAGCUCUUUUACCAGGGACGAUAAUGACGGUACCUGGAGAAUAAGCCCCGGCAAACUUCGUGCCAGCAGCCGCGGUAAUACGAAGGGGGCUAGCGUUGUUCGGAAUUACUGGGCGUAAAGCGCACGUAGGCGGAUUGUUAAGUCAGAGGUGAAAGCCCCGGGCUCAACCUGGGAACUGCAUCCGAUACUGGCAGACUAGAGUGUGGUAGAGGAUGGCGGAAUUCCCGGUGUAGCGGUGAAAUGCGUAGAGAUCGGGAGGAACAUCCGUGGCGAAGGCGGCCAUCUGGACCAACACUGACGUUGAGGCACGAAAGCGUGGGGAGCAAACAGGAUUAGAUACCCAUGUAGUCCCUGAGCGGGCUGGCAAGGCGCAU
rnacentral:rRNA from 1 species